AUUGAACGCUGGCGGCAGGCCUAACACAUGCAAGUCGAGCGGAUGAAGGGAGCUUGCUCCUGGAUUCAGCGGCGGACGGGUGAGUAAUGCCUAGGAAUCUGCCUGGUAGUGGGGGAUAACGUCCGGAAACGGGCGCUAAUACCGCAUACGUCCUGAGGGAGAAAGUGGGGGAUCUUCGGACCUCACGCUAUCAGAUGAGCCUAGGUCGGAUUAGCUAGUUGGUGGGGUAAAGGCCUACCAAGGCGACGAUCCGUAACUGGUCUGAGAGGAUGAUCAGUCACACUGGAACUGAGACACGGUCCAGACUCCUACGGGAGGCAGCAGUGGGGAAUAUUGGACAAUGGGCGAAAGCCUGAUCCAGCCAUGCCGCGUGUGUGAAGAAGGUCUUCGGAUUGUAAAGCACUUUAAGUUGGGAGGAAGGGCAGUAAGUUAAGACCUUGCUGUUUUGACGUGACCAACAGAAGAGCACCGGCUAACUUCGUG
rnacentral:rRNA from 1 species